UGGGGAAUAUUGGACAAUGGGCGAAAGCCUGAUCCAGCCAUGCCGCGUGUGUGAAGAAGGUCUUCGGAUUGUAAAGCACUUUAAGUUGGGAGGAAGGGCAUUAACCUAAUACGUUAGUGUUUUGACGUUACCGACAGAAUAAGCACCGGCUAACUCUGUGCCAGCAGCCGCGGUAAUACAGAGGGUGCAAGCGUUAAUCGGAAUUACUGGGCGUAAAGCGCGCGUAGGUGGUUUGUUAAGUUGGAUGUGAAAUCCGCGGGCUCAACCUGGGAACUGCAUUCAAAACUGACUUACUAGAGUAUGGUAGAGGGUGGUGGAAUUUCCUGUGUAGCGGUGAAAUGCGUAGAUAUAGGAAGGAACACCAGUGGCGAAGGCGACCACCUGGACUAAUACUGACACUGAGGUGCGAAAGCGUGGGGAGCAAACA
rnacentral:rRNA from 1 species